rnacentral:rRNA from 1 species
UGAGGAAUAUUGGUCAAUGGACGAGAGCCUGAACCAGCCAAGUAGCGUGAAGGAUGACUGCCCUAUGGGUUGUAAACUUCUUUUAUAAAGGAAUAAAGUCGGGUAUGCAUACCCGUUUGCAUGUACUUUAUGAAUAAGGAUCGGCUAACUCCGUGCCAGCAGCCGCGGUAAUACGGAGGAUCCGAGCGUUAUCCGGAUUUAUUGGGUUUAAAGGGAGCGUAGAUGGAUGUUUAAGUCAGUUGUGAAAGUUUGCGGCUCAACCGUAAAAUUGCAGUUGAUACUGGAUGUCUUGAGUGCAGUUGAGGCAGGCGGAAUUCGUGGUGUAGCGGUGAAAUGCUUAGAUAUCACGAAGAACUCCGAUUGCGAAGGCAGCCUGCUAAGCUGCAACUGACAUUGAGGCUCGAAAGUGUGGGUAUCAAACAGG